GCUGCAGCGCUUUACCCUGUCUGGUUGCUGAGCUGCUCUGAGGGUAUCCAGGCCUUAGAGUUCCCAGUAUCCAAAGCUGCCUCUCUCCACCAGGGCACUCACCUCAUCCAGUGACCAGGAGUUGAGAUCAGGCCUUGGGACUCAGGUCCAUGGUCUGAACCCUUUCCUGGAGAGCCAGGUUGCUCUGGGAAUGGUGGGUUUUUGAUGCAGAGAAGCCAGUGCAGCUCUGGGUCUCUGCAGUUCAGGCUGGCCUUGAACUCACUUUGUAGCCCAGGCUGGUCUCGAACUCGCAACGAUCCUCCUGCCUCAGCCUCCCAACUGCUGGGAUUACAGGUGUGAGCCACCACGCCCGGCUACCAUGAGCACUUUCACACUGGUACCAAUGAAGCCGUUUCUUCUUUUCAUAUGAAUUGCUCCAUCCAUGUUGCCCAAAUUGAAAAGAGGGACAACUUACCUUUCAUGUUCACUAUAAAUGAAGACUCCACCAGCCCCCUCUUUGGUUUCACCGCAGUGCCAUAGGCUGGUGACACACGGGCUCUGGGGGACACUUCAAGUUCAAGCUGCAGCACUCAGUGAUGGUAACAGAGGCGGGAGCUACCCAGGCAGAAGGACGCUGAGCCGACUGACAUAACCAGGAGAGAAAAGGGCGAGCUGCCGUUCCUGUCAGCCGUUUUCUUUCAGGCCUGCCGGCUCUCUUGGACCCUGAGGGACGAGCUUCCGCACACAAGCUAACCUGAGGUCAAUCGUGCUUGUACGUCAGGCAGACACAAACAGAACUGAUUAUAUAGGAACAGAGACUACGUCACAGUAUCUGUGUGCCUGGUCUGGAGCUGACCUCACACAUGCAGAGCCUUACGGGCCACACGGCUCCCAGAACUUUCCUCAGGGUCCACCAUCCUUGGUUAGGAGCUGAGACAAGCCCAGGAAAAUUCAUGGUGGACCAGGCAGACUGCCAGCUGAUUCUCCAAUUUUGUUCUUUUUCUUUUCUUGGGCAUGGAAUCCCAAGUUACUGAAAGCAAAGCUAACUUUAAUAAAACAUAUAUGCCAGCUCCUCUUAUAGACAGAGGUGAUGAGUGAAACACAGGCGAAAGUCUUGAUUUGAGCUGUUGUGGGGCAGUCAGCGGGGAGGAUUCUUUUCCUUCCUCUGCCCAGUUACAGACAGAGGGCUGGAGCUCCAGUAGCUAUGGUGUGAUGAUAAAGCCAUCCCAAAAUGAUGGUUACAUGGCUAGGAAACUGGAACAGACUUGCAAGUGGCCUAGGUCUUUCCUGGGUCUGGAACCAGAUUUUUCAGCUCUAGAUUUUCUUCUUUGGGUUUUUUUUUUCCUGCAUAAGCAAAAAGUAGGUUCCUGAUUUAUCAAAACCUCCUUUUUGUUCUUUGUGGCAAACUUAAUACUGAACAAAUCCUGUCGCCCCUCUAUGACAAGAAAAAAACAAAACUGACUGGGAAAUUAAAUAAAGAACAGCACAUUGAAAGAAGUCUUACCAUCCUUCUACUAUUUUGAUUUUAACCAAGUGCUGAAAACAUGCUAUGUUUUUGUUUUAUGUAUUUUGGGGAAGUACUGGGAAUCAAACUCAGGACGCUGAGCUUGCCAGGCAGGUGCUAUGUCUCUGAGCCACAUCCCCAACCCAAGAUAUAGUUCAUUGAUUAACUCUCAUUGGAUGCUGGGGUCCUACCUAGCGGGGAGAAGCCCCCAUGGCCUUGGGCAGGGAAACUACUGUCAGUGUUAGCUGUUGAGGAAAAGAACCAGCACUCAGAGAGCACUGGGACUGCACGCUUCCCUGGCCACCAGGCCUGGCAGAUGCUUGGUCAGGGCAGC